UACAGAGGGUGCGAGCGUUAAACGGAAUUACUGGGCGUAAAGCGUGCGUAGACGGUUAUUUAAGUCAGAUGUGAAAUCCCCAGGCUCAACCUGGGAACUGCAUUUGAAACUCCCUUUCUUGAGUAUCGGAGAGGAAAGCGGAAUUCCUGGUGUAGAGGUGAAAUUCGUAGAUAUCAGGAGGAACACCAGCGGCGAAGGCGGCUUUCUGGACGAUAACUGACGCUGAGACGCGAAAGCGUGGGGAGCAAACAGG
rnacentral:rRNA from 1 species